AUUGCCCUAGUAACGGCGAGUGAAGCGGCAACAGCUCAAAUUUGAAAUCUGGCUCUUUCAGUAGUCCGAGUUGUAAUUUGCAGUAGGGCGCUUUGGCUUUGGCAGCGGUCCAAGUUCCUUCGGAACAGGACGUCACAGAGGGUGAGAAUCCCGUACGUGGUCGCUAGCUAUUGCCGUGUAAAGCCCCUUCGACGAGUCGAGUUGUUUGGGAAUGCAGCUCUAAAUGGGAGGUAAAUUUCUUCUAAAGCUAAAUAUUGGCCAGAGACCGAUAGCGCACAAGUAGAGUGAUCGAAAGAUGAAAAGCACUUUGGAAAGAGAGUCAAACAGCACGUGAAAUUGUUGAAAGGGAAGCGCUUGCAGCCAGACUUGCUUGCAGUUGCUCAUCCGGGCUUUUGCCCGGUGCACUCUUCUGCAGGCAGGCCAGCAUCAGUUUGGGCGGUGGGAUAAAGGUCUCUGUCAUGUACCUCUCUUCGGGGAGGCCUUAUAGGGGAGGCGACAUACCACCAGCCUAGACUGAGGUCCGCGCAUCUGCUAGGAUGCUGGCGUAAUGGCUGUAAGCGGCCCGUCUUGAAACACGGACCAAGGAGUCUAACAUCUAUGCGAGUGUUUGGGUGUCAAGCCCGAGCGCGUAAUGAAAGUGAACGGAGGUGGGAACCCGCAAGGGUGCACCAUCGACCGAUCCUGAAGUUUACGGAAGGAUUUGAGUAAGAGCAUGGCUGUUGGGACCCGAAAGAUGGUGAACUAUGCUUGAAUAGGGUGAAGCCAGAGGAAACUCUGGUGGAGGCUCGCAGCGGUUCUGACGUGCAAAUCGAUCGUCAAAUUUGGGCAUAGGGGCGAAAGACUAAUCGAACUAUCUAGUAGCUGUCUG
rnacentral:rRNA from 1 species